rnacentral:rRNA from 1 species
CAGUCGCCGCGGGAAUACGUAGGGUGCAAGCGUUGUCCGGAAUUAUUGGGCGUAAAGAGCUCGUAGGCGGUUUGUCGCGUCUGCUGUGAAAUCCCGAGGCUCAACCUCGGGCUUGCAGUGGGUACGGGCAGACUAGAGUGCGGUAGGGGAGAUUGGAAUUCCUGGUGUAGCGGUGGAAUGCGCAGAUAUCAGGAGGAACACCGAUGGCGAAGGCAGAUCUCUGGGCCGUAACUGACGCUGAGGAGCGAAAGCGUGGGGAGCGAACAGGAUUAGAUACCCGCGUAGUCCCUGUCUCUUAUAC